AGAGUUUGAUCCUGGCUCAGAAUCAACGCUGGCGGCGUGCCUAACACAUGCAAGUCGAACGAGAAAGUACUCUUCGGAGUGCGAGUAAAGUGGCGAACGGGUGAGUAACGCGUGGGUGAUCUACCCUUUGGGGGGGGAUAACCCGGGGAAACCCGGGCUAAUACCGCAUAAGCCUGCAUUUGUAAGCGAGUGCAGGGAAAGUUUUCGGAUACCGAAGGAGGAGCCCGCGUCCGAUUAGCUAGUUGGUGAGGUAAGAGCUCACCAAGGCGACGAUCGGUAGCCGGUCUGAGAGGACGGACGGUCACACUGGGACUGAGACACGGCCCAGACUCCUACGGGAGGCAGCAGUGGGGAAUUUUGGGCAAUGGGCGAAAGCCUGACCCAGCAACGCCGCGUGGAGGAUGAAGGUUUUCGGAUCGUAAACUCCUGUCUAGAGGGACGAAGAAAGUGACGGUACCUCUGGAGGAAGCCCCGGCUAACUCCGUGCCAGCAGCCGCGGUAAUACGGGGGGGGCAAGCGUUGUUCGGAAUUACUGGGCGUAAAGGGCGCGUAGGCGGUUUCGGAAGUCAUGGGUGAAAGUCCUCGGCUCAACCGAGGGAUUGCCCGUGAAACCACGGGACUGGAGUGCUGGAGAGGGAAGCGGAAUUCCCAGUGUAGCGGUGAAAUGCGUAGAUAUUGGGAGGAACACCUGUGGCGAAGGCGGCUUCCUGGACAGACACUGACGCUGAGGCGCGAAAGCCAGGGGAGCAAACGGGAUUAGAUACCCCGGUAGUCCUGGCUGUAAACGAUGAACACUUGGUGUGGGGGGUGAUGAAAGUCCCUCUGUGCCGGAGAGAACUCAUUAAGUGUUCCGCCUGGGGAGUACGGCCGCAAGGCUGAAACUCAAAGGAAUUGACGGGGGCCCGCACAAGCGGUGGAGCAUGUGGUUUAAUUCGACGCAACGCGAAGAACCUUACCGGGGUUUGAACUGCACCUGAGCGAUCUAGAGAUGGAGAGGUUCCCUUAGGGGACAGGUGUAGAGGUGCUGCAUGGCUGUCGUCAGCUCGUGUCGUGAGAUGUUGGGUUAAGUCCCGCAACGAGCGCAACCCUUGUCUGUAGUUGCCAUCAGGUCAAGCUGGGCACUCUACGGAGACUGUCGGCGAGAAGCCGGAGGAAGGUGGGGAUGACGUCAAGUCCUCAUGGCCUUUAUGUCCCGGGCUACACACGUGCUACAAUGGGCGGUACAGAGGGCAGCGAACCUGUGAAGGCAAGCGAAUCCCAGAAAACCGCUCUCAGUUCGGAUUGCAGUCUGCAACUCGACUGCAUGAAGUUGGAAUCGCUAGUAAUCGCGGAUCAGAACGCCGCGGUGAAUACGUUCCCGGGCCUUGUACACACCGCCCGUCACAUCACGAAAGUGGGCUGUACUAGAAGCCGCCGGCCUAACCUUAGGGAAGGAGGCGUCGACGGUAUGGCUCAUGAUUGGGGUGAAGUCGUAACAAGGUA
rnacentral:rRNA from 1 species